CCAAACACUCGCUAUAGAGCAAUAGCUUUACUUACAAAAUGAAUUCUUCUUCUUCUUUGCUUUUGGCAUUCAAAGGAGGAACAUCCUUUGCGCUAAGUGGCUUAUUUCUUUUAAACAAUUUACUAUAGAUCACAGGACCAACAAAUACUGAACCGAGAACAGCUAAACUCAACUAUGUUCAUUGUUAGGUGUACGGAAUUUGAAAAAUACAUACUUGAUGAGCUUGGAAUUGACGACCUGCAAUUGUAUAAACCGACAUAAUGCUUAUAUUUAAUAGUGAAUGAUUGAAUCAAGAGAAGGGAGGUAAAGGUUUAACACGGUUAGCAGCGAAUAUGAAGCCGACUGUAAACUUAGCAAUCAAUAU